rnacentral:rRNA from 1 species
GACGAGCGCUGGCGGCGUGCUUAACACAUGCAAGUCGAACGGUAAGGCCCUUCGGGGUACACGAGUGGCGAACGGGUGAGUAACACGUGGGUGAUCUGCCCUGCACUUCGGGAUAAGCCUGGGAAACUGGGUCUAAUACCGGAUAGGACCCUGGGAUGCAUGUCCUGGGGUGGAAAGCUUUUGCGGUGUGGGAUGGGCCCGCGGCCUAUCAGCUUGUUGGUGGGGUGAUGGCCUACCAAGGCGACGACGGGUAGCCGGCCUGGGAGGGUGACCGGCCACACUGGGACUGAGAUACGGCCCAGACUCCUACGGGAGGCAGCAGUGGGGAAUAUUGCACAAUGGGCGCAAGCCUGAUGCAGCGACGCCGCGUGAGGGAUGACGGCCUUCGGGUUGUAAACCUCUUUCAGCACCGACGAAGCGCAAGUGACGGUAGGUGCAGAAGAAGGACCGGCCAACUACGUGCCAGCCGCCGCAGUAA